ACGAACGCUGGCGGCGUGCUUAACACAUGCCAGUCGCACGGAAAGGCCCUGCUUUUGUGGGGUGCUCGAGUGGCGAACGGGUGAGUAACACGUGAGUAACCUGCCCUUGACUUUGGGAUAACUUCAGGAAACUGGGGCUAAUACCGGAUAGGAGCUCCUGCUGCAUGGUGGGGGUUGGAAAGUUUCGGCGGUUGGGGAUGGACUCGCGGCUUAUCAGCUUGUUGGUGGGGUAGUGGCUUACCAAGGCUUUGACGGGUAGCCGGCCUGAGAGGGUGACCGGCCACAUGGGGACUGAGAUACGGCCCAGACUCCUACGGGAGGCAGCAGUGGGGAAUAUUGCACAAUGGGCGGAAGCCUGAUGCAGCAACGCCGCGUGCGGGAUGACGGCCUUCGGGUUGUAAACCGCUUUCUCCUGUGACGAAGCGUGAGUGACGGUAAUGGGUAAAGAAGCACCGGCUAACUACGUG
rnacentral:rRNA from 1 species